CACUUUCAGCAGUCUGGUUGCCGAGGGUGAGCUCGCUGGCAGAGGAACUUGCGCCUUCCAACUCUUAGGUUUGUUGCGUUCGGGUCGCAGUCGACUUUAAUGGGAACCAAGCAAAGCACCCAAUGGCCCCUGCCAUCAGGGGAGCGCAUGAACACAGUCACCCACUACUACAAACUGUGCAGUUGGGUUUCCCACAUUUGGGGAAAUGGCAGGGGUCAGCACAUCUGGAGUGUAAUGGAUGAGCCGUGCCCUGGAAAAACCACCUUUGUGAUUGUGAUAGCUCCUCUGCCAGGUUAGUAAUCUCUCCUGAUUCUUACCAUUCCCUCGUUGUGAGAUUGUUUCUUUGAAGUAAGAAAAUAUUAUCUUGAACUUAUAAAACUCUUUUUUUUUUAAAAAAACAAAAAUUUGGAACUAUCUCAUAUAUGAUAAUUCUUUAUCCUAACAGUAUUGCUAUGAAUACUAGUUUUAGGUAGCACUUAUUGAGUACUGUCUUUGUACCAGGCACUAUGCUUAGCACUUCAUGUUUAAUCCUCACAACUCCCUGAGGUAGGUAAUAUUACUGUGCCCAUUUUACAAGAGAGGGCUCAAAACCCAGGUUCAUGGAAGGCAAAAGACACAGAUGGGGAUAUUAAUACUCUGGCCUUCCUGAACUCCCCAUUAGACUGUGAACUCCUUGAAGUGUAGGGGGAGGGAGCAAUGCCUUACUAUAUCUUAGCUACAUUACAGUGCUGACCAUGUAGAGGAAAGUAGGGAGGAGGAAGCUAAGAUAGGACCUUUUCCUGGGAGUCAUGACAGUGGGCAAUCCUAGAUGUAGCAGGUGAAUGCGAGACCAAAAACUCUAAUUCUCAUACUUCAAAUGAGCUAAGAGAAAAAUCACAUUUGUAAAGGCAUUAGAGUAUAGAAACACUUCCACAAAAAUGAGAGAGUACAUGGAAAGUUAGGUGUUCAAAUUCACAUCUAAUUUCCCUGGGAUUAAAUUUAAUUAAUUACUGUCAAUUUGAUUUUUUAUUAUGAUGUAUACCCUUGAAGACUUAAAAUUUUUUUAUUAUAGUAAGCUAGUUCUUUGGUCCUCCUAUAAAGCUUUAUCAGCUUCUUCUUAUUUCCCUUUAAUGUUUCUUGUCAACUCACAUGUAUCUCUGCAAGGAAAAAGUUGUAGAAGGGGAACAAUAUAAGGUACUUAAAUUUCUCUGAGGCAGAAAACUUCAGGGUCUGAAUUUCUGGUGUUUGUGGGCCAGUCAAAAUAGUGAAGAAGCACUUAAAAGUGGUCUUUGGAAUUUUUAAUUUAAAUAUUUACCACUUUAUUCUGUUAGUAAAUGAGAUCAGGAAUAGUGAUUUGAUUAAAUCACAUGUAUCACCUAUAAAAGUGUUAAGCUCCUUUAUCAUUGUUUACACUGGGCUUCCCAAAGGCCAUCAGCAUCCUGAAGAAGCAUACAAGAGCCACCCAGGAGCCAUUUUCCUGCUCCUGCCCUAUUCAGAGACUCUCUAUUUUUGUCCAGAGUUCACAGUUUAGCACAAAGAUGUCCUGAGUUAUUUAAGCUUAUUUUGACUGUAUCCUGAAAUCCCAAGUGAAAAUAGUUUAUCCCAAAUUGGCCCAAAUGAAAAACAAAUCACACUGAAAAGAAACAAUUUCUUGUUCUUUGGACUGCUAAAUUACAUAUAUGUG
rnacentral:lncRNA from 10 species